rnacentral:tRNA from 1 species
GGAUUGUGACUUGGCGGUAGAGUGCUUGCCUAGCAAGUGCAAGGCCCUGGGUUCGAUCCUCAGCACCA